rnacentral:rRNA from 1 species
CCUACGGGUGGCAGCAGUGAGGAAUAUUGGUCAAUGGCCGGAAGGCUGAACCAGCCAAGCCGCGUGAGGGAGGAAGGCGCAGAGCGUCGCAGACCUCUUUUGCCGGGGGACAAAAGGCCGGACUCGUCCGGUCCUGAGGGUACCCGGAGAAAAAGCAUCGGCUAACUCCGUGCCAGCAGCCGCGGUAAUACGGAGGAUGCGAGGGUUAUCCGGAUUCAUUGGGUUUAACGGGUGCGCAGGCGGACCUUUAAGCCUGCGGUGAAAUUGCGGGGCUCAACCCCGCCGCGCCGUGGAAACUGGGGGCCUUGAGUGCGGGAGAGGCAUGCGGAAUGCGAGGUGUAGCGGUGAAAUGCAUAGAUAUCGCGCAGAACCCCGAUUGCGAAGGCAGCGUGCCGGGCCGCCACUGACGCUGAGGCACGAAAGCGCGGGGAUCGAACAGGAUUAGAUACCCGAGUAGUC